AAAACCCCACCCUUCCCUGAGCAACACCUGGUCCCACCCUGAGCUGCCUUUCUCAGGACCCCAACCCCAGCCUGGCCCAGCCCAGCCGCACCCUGCCACUCCCUUCAGCCAGUGUGGCUUCAUGUCAAGAGGCUGGGCGGGGUCAAGGUGGCAACAAGGGGAGAAGCUGGGACACAGUGCUCCUUGAUUUAAACCCAGGCAGCCUGGAGUGCAGCUCAUGCUCCACACCCGGAAUUCCUGCCACCCCACUCUCCUGCUGCCCUCCAGACAUGCAGGGGCCCUGGGUGCUUCUGCUGCUGCUGGGCCUGAGGCUACAGCUCUCCCUGGGCAUCAUCCCAGUUGAGGAGGAGAACCCAGACUUCUGGAACCGCCAGGCAGCCGAGGCCCUGGGUGCUGCCAAGAAGCUGCAGCCCAUACAGACAGCCGCCAAGAACCUCAUCCUCUUCCUGGGCGACGGGAUGGGGGUGUCUACGGUGACAGCCGCCAGGAUCCUAAAGGGGCAGAAGGAGGACAAACUGGGGCCUGAGACCCCCCUGGCCAUGGACCACUUCCCAUAUGUGGCUCUGUCCAAGACAUACAGUGUAGACAAGCAUGUGCCAGACAGUGCAGCCACAGCCACCGCCUACCUGUGCGGAGUCAAGGGCAACUUCCAGACCAUUGGCUUGAGUGCAGCUGCCCGCUUUAACCAGUGCAACACGACACGCGGCAACGAGGUGGUCUCCGUGAUGAAUCGGGCCAAGAAAGCAGGGAAGUCAGUGGGAGUAGUGACCACCACACGGGUGCAGCAUGCCUCACCAGCCGGUGCCUACGCCCACACGGUGAACCGCAACUGGUACUCGGAUGCCAACAUGCCUGGCUCGGCCCGCCGGGAGGGCUGCAAGGACAUCGCCACACAGCUCAUCUCCAACAUGGACAUUGACGUGAUCCUAGGUGGAGGCCGAAAGUACAUGUUUCGCAUGGGGGCCCCAGACCCUGAGUACCCUCAUGACUACAGCCAGGAUGGGACCAGGAUGGAUGGGAAGAACCUGGUGCAGGAAUGGCUGGCGAAGCAGCAGGGUGCCCGGUACGUGUGGAACCGCACUGAGCUCAUGCAGGCUUCCCUGGACCCAUCCGUGACCCACCUCAUGGGUCUCUUUGAGCCCGGAGACAUGAAAUACGAGAUCCACCGAGACCCCACACUGGACCCCUCCCUGAUGGAGAUGACAGAGGCUGCCCUGCGCCUGCUAAGCAGGAACCCCCGCGGCUUCUUCCUCUUUGUGGAGGGCGGUCGCAUCGACCAUGGUCAUCACGAAAGCAGGGCCUACCGGGCACUGACUGAGGCGGUCAUGUUCGACGACGCCAUUGAGAGGGCGGGCCAGCUCACCAGCGAGGAGGACACGCUGACCCUCGUCACCGCUGACCACUCCCACGUCUUCUCCUUUGGUGGCUACCCCCUGCGAGGGAGCUCUAUCUUCGGGCUGGCACCCGGCAAGGCCCAGGACAGGAAGGCCUACACGGCCCUCCUAUAUGGCAACGGUCCGGGCUAUGUGCUCAAGGAUGGCGCCCGGCCGGAUGUUACUGAGAGCGAGAGCGGGAGCCCCGAGUACCGGCAGCAGUCAGCAGUGCCCCUGGACGAAGAGACACACGCAGGCGAGGACGUGGCGGUGUUCGCGCGCGGCCCGCAGGCGCACCUGGUUCAUGGCGUGCAGGAGCAGAGCUUCGUAGCGCACGUCAUGGCCUUUGCCGCCUGCCUGGAGCCCUACACGGCGUGCGACCUGGCGCCCCCCGCCGGCACCGACACCGCACACCCUGGGCGCUCCGCGGUCCCCGAGUCCCUGCCUCUUCUAGCCGGGGCCCUGCUGCUGCUAGGGACGGUCACUGCUCCCUGAGUGUCCCGUCCCUGGGGCUCCUGCUUCCCCAUCUCGGAGUUCUCCUGCUUCCCACCUCCUGUUGUCCUGCCCGGCCUCCACCCCGAGUCGUCACCCCUGAAGUCACCACACAGAUGUCCUGCCAUGGAACCUUCACCUCCUCGUGCACCCUGGGGACUGAGCCCAUGACACCAAAGCUGCCCCUUGGCUAUUCCUGGACUCCCUACCCAACCCCAGGGACUGCAGGUUGUGCCCUGUGGCUGCCUGCACCCCAGGAAAGAAGGGAGCUCAGGCCAUCCAGCCCCCACCUACAGUCCUUGGGUACCAGGAAGGCUCCCUUUCCGGAGAAGAGAAGCACCCAGACCCCGCGCCCGGCUGACCUUUGCUUCAGUCCUUGAAUCACUUGUGGGACUUGAGGACUCGGGAGCUUCAGGAUGACUGGAGAAGCGUGGCUUCCUGCCACGCGCCAGCCAAGGAGGCUGCUGGGGUGGGGAACCCCAGGGGGAUUUUGACACAGCCUUUGGCUGCCCCUCACUGAGCUAAUUCCACACUCCUGUACCCCUCCAAGGGGCCCUCUGCCUCAUGGCAGAGGCUUGCCCCAAAUCACAACUACUCAGAUGUUCCAUACCUCCAAAUGCCAAUUUCAGCACCCAACUGAGAUCCAAGGAGCUCCUGGGUGCAGGGCAGCAGUCGAGAGCCAAAGGUCCCUCCCCAGACAUCUGGACACUGGGCAUAGAUUUCUCAACAAGGAAGACUCCCCUGCCUCCCCAGGGCCUCCGCUCUCCUGGGAGACAAAGCAAUAAUGAAAGGAAGUGUUUUUAAUCCCAGCACUUUGGGAGGCCAAGGUGGGCAGAUCACGAGGUCAGGAGAUGGAGACCAUCCUGGUUAACACGGUGAAAUCCCUUAUCUAUGCGCCUGUAGUCCCAGCUACCCAGGAGCCUGGAGCAGGAGAAUCGCUUGAACCUGGGCAGCAGAGGUUGCAGUGAGCCAAGGUCAUGCCACUGCACUCCAGCCUGGGUGACAGAGCAAGAUUCCGCCUCAAAAGUGUGGCAGCUCAACACCUGCAAUCCUAGCACUUUGGCAGGAAGACGGGGUAGGAUCACUUGACUUCAGGAGUUCGAGAAUAGCCUGGACAUCAUAGUGAGACCCCGACUCUACAAAAACAACAACAGAGCCCAGGGAG